GUCUGUAUUGUGGAUUCCUGUGAAUGUCUGUGUUUUUCCUCUGUGUUAAGAUAUUGAUGGACUUUGUUUGAACCUCUAAAAGAAAGGACCAGGGCCGAUCCCAGCUGUCAUUGGGUGGGAAGCGGGGUACACCCUGCGCAGACAGGGCUGACUUAUAGAGACAGACAACCAGCCACAUUCACACCUACAGACAAUUUAGAUUCACCAGUUAUCGUAACGAGCAUGUCUUUGGACUGUGGGAGGAAGCCGGAGUACCCUGAAUGGAACCCACGCACACACGAUGAGUACAUGCAAACUCCACACAGAGAGACUCCUGUACGAUGGGGAUUCGAACCAGGGACCUUCUCACUGUCACAUGAAUGCCGUGCUUGUAAGACGCCAGCAUGUCCUUGAAUGCACCAAAAAGAAACCCACAGCUUGUUUUUGUGUUGAAUGAAACUUUGACUAAUGCGAAAAGUUGCAAUGUUUCACUGAGAUGGAUUAUGAAGCAACUUUAAACACAUUAUGUAAAACUUGUUUUUUUUUAACUUUUGUUUAAUAAAUGUAAA